rnacentral:misc_RNA from 1 species
GGAAAUAAAAGUCGUAACAAGGUUUCCGUAGGUGAACCUGCGGAAGGAUCAUUAUUGUAUAACCGAUGUUCGAGGGCUGUCGCUGACCAGAAAUGUCGUGCACGAACGAGUACCCUCACACACAUCCAUCUCACCCCUAUGUGCACCACCGCGUGGGACCCCCUUUGGGUUGUUCGGAGGGGGGCUUACGUUUUCACACAAAUUUUGUAUGUAGUGUAGAAUGUAUUUUUUGUUUUGGCGAUCACGCAAUAAAUACAACUUUCAACAACGGAUCUCUUGGCUCUC